AAAAAGACAAACUCUGAGUUUCCGUGUCCAACUUUAACUGUCCGUUUUAUAUGAAAUUUUUUUAUAAUUCGUAUUUUCAUUGUUAUUAGAUGAUAAAACAUGAUUAAUAUUUUAUGCGUGACUUGUCUUUUUAAUUUUUUUCAUAAUUUUUUCAAAUAAGACGGACGGUCAAACGUUGAGUAUAGAACCAGGGUUUGUCUUUUU
rfam:Oryza rufipogon genomic scaffold, chr03